GACGAACGCUGGCGGCGUGCCUAAUACAUGCAAGUAGAACGCUGAAGGAGGAGCUUGCUUCUCUGGAUGAGUUGCGAACGGGUGAGUAACGCGUAGGUAACCUGCCUGGUAGCGGGGGAUAACUAUUGGAAACGAUAGCUAAUACCGCAUAAGAGUAGAUGUUGCAUGACAUUUGCUUAAAAGGUGCAAUUGCAUCACUACCAGAUGGACCUGCGUUGUAUUAGCUAGUUGGUGGGGGAACGGCUCACCAAGGCGACGAAACAUAGCCGACCUGAAAGGGUGAUCGGCCACACUGGGACUGAGAAACGGCCCAGACUCCUACGGGAGGCAGCAGGAGGGGAUCUUCGGCAAUGGACGGAAGUCUGACCGAGCAACGCCGCGGGAGUGAAGAAGGUUUUCGGAUCGUAAAGCUCUGUUGUAAGAGAAGAACGCGUGUGAGAGUGGAAAGUUCACACUGUGACGGUAUCUUACCAGAAAGGGACGGCUAACUACGUG
rnacentral:rRNA from 1 species